UUAAAAAAGACAGGCUCUGGUCUGAAAGGAACACAAAAAGAAAGGAAAGCAAGGAAAAGGAAAGUGACAAGGAGGCGCACAUUUUCGUUACCUAUUUGAUGCUCGUUUUCUUCGUUUGAUCGGAAAAGCCCAAAGGAAAAGCGUUGUACACCGAAUAAGGAAAAAGGAAACAACUUUCAGCAACAACAAUAAUGCAGAUGAAAACUAACGAUACGGAAAAGUAAACGCACUGCAAUCCGAAGAGAGAAAUGGAGUCUCGUCGAGACUUGGUCCGUUUCCGUUUCCUGUCUGCCAUCGUCGCCAUCUUUGGGUGUGGUGCGUACUACGCACUAGCCCACCAUCCUCUUCAUGUACUUGGCAUUAAUGCACUGACAAUUGUUUGGAUAAGAGCAAGUGAGCCACUUAAAUUAAUUUAAUGUUCUCACUCAGAUCAUUCGCGGUUUCGAGUGGCGAAAU